rnacentral:rRNA from 1 species
AGAGUUUGAUCCUGGCUCAGAAUCAACGCUGGCGGCGCGCUUAACACAUGCAAGUCGCACGAGAAAGCCGGGGCAACCUGGUGAGUAAAGUGGCGUACGGGUGAGUAACACGUGGGUAAUCCACCUUCUAGUGGGGAAUAACCCUGGGAAACCGGGGCUAAUACCGCAUAAGCCUGAGAAGGGAAAGCAGCAAUGCGCUGGAAGAGGAGCCCGCGGCCGAUUAGCUAGUUGGUGGGGUAAUGGCUCACCAAGGCGAUGAUCGGUAGCCGGCCUGAGAGGGCUCACGGCCACACUGGCACUGAAAUACGGGCCAGACUCCUACGGGAGGCAGCAGUGGGGAAUUUUGCACAAUGGAGGAAACUCUGAUGCAGCGACGCCGCGUGAGCGAUGAAGCCCUUCGGGGUGUAAAGCUCUUUCGACGGGAACGAUAAUGACGGUACCCGGAGAAGAAGCUGCGGCUAACUACGUGCCAGCAGCCGCGGUAAUACGUAGGCAGCGAGCGUUGUUCGGAAUUACUGGGCGUAAAGAGUGUGUAGGCGGCGCUUCAAGUUCGGUGUGAAAUCUCCCGGCUUAACUGGGAGGGUGCGCCGAAAACUGGAGUGCUUGAGCAUGGGAGAGGAAAGCGGAAUUCCUGGUGUAGCGGUGAAAUGCGUAGAUAUCAGGAGGAACACCUGCGGUGUAGACAGCUUUCUGGACCAUUGCUGACGCUGAGACACGAAAGCGUGGGUAGCAAACAGGAUUAGAUACCCUGGUAGUCCACGCCCUAAACGAUGCAUACUUGGUGUGGGCCAUUCAGUUGGUCCGUGCCGGAGCUAACGCGUUAAGUAUGCCGCCUGGGG